CCCUGUACCGGCUGGGUGGCCCACAACUUCGGGUGUUCCGAACCAACUUCUUCAUUCAGCUGGUGCGGCCCGGUGUGGCCCAGCCCGAGGACACCGUGCAGUUCCGGAUCCCCAUGGAAAUGACAAGGGUGGACCUCAGGAAUUACCUCGAGGGCAUCUAUAACGUGCCCGUGGCUGCUGUGCGGACACGGGCUCUAACAAGAGAAGAGAUCACAGAAACGUGAGGAUCAAGAAGCCGGACUACAAGGUCGCCUACGUGCAGCUGCCCUCCCAGACACCCAGCAAGGAGCAAAAUGGCCAGGGCAGCACCCUCUGUUUCCGGAGCAGCUGCAGCAAGGGGUGGUCAACCUGGGGGACCAGGGACCCCAGACCCGCUUGGAGUCCUGUGGGUGGCCGCAUUCCCAGGAAGGCUGGAUCCGGAGGACCGGCCAACAGGAUCGCUCAGGAUGGACGUCUUCUACUCAAGAACCUCAGGCCCAGAGUCCCCAGGAGGGAGCAGCCGGCAACACGGUUUCCGCUGUGGAGACGGGGCGUCCUGGCUUGAGUUCACUCCUCUCCAGGUGGAGCUGCCGCCGUGAGACCAAGGCCAGGCCCCCCUCGGGCCCCAGGGCUCCGAGGCACUUCCUUGGGUUGGUGUGCUGGAUGGAAGUAGGGCUGUAUUUCCUAAGACCUGCGGGGCAGACCUGGCCUCUGGAGGUGAGAAUUUGCUGGGCCUGUUAUGGGUGAAAGAGGAAAACCAGCCUGUGGGGGGCAUCUCACAGUCCCCUCUGUCCCUCAGGUAGGAUGCGUGGGGCGUGGUGGAGCCACGGGGUAGGGGAACGGGGACCCCCUCAGGUGUGUGGGGGCUGGGAGGUGGGUGCAAGGCCCCCCGUCUCACCGAGAAGGGACUUGGAGAGUGAGAUGGUGUCUGAGUUAGGAUGGCAGGCUCAGCUGACCUCGUCCCAGAGGCACUCAGCAAGGGCCAGGGACGGCAUCCCCGCCGGGCACAUGGCAGUUCAUCCUCAGAGACACUGUGUAUGGGAGGGAGGAGAAGCCCACACCUCUCUGAGGCAAACUUCAGGACGGCCAGGGGCCCCUGAGCACCCCGCCCACCUUUCUCCCGGCGCCCAUGUGGGGCGAUGCUCUCUGCCCUCCUUUGAGCUCUGCAGUAUCCUGGGACGUUGGGCCCUCUGUCCUGCUUGCUCUGUCUGUGCUGGGGAGUGGGCAGGAGUGGACAGAGAUCCGCCCUUCUCCAAGAGUCCCAGCCGUGGGAGGCUUCACCUUCCAGAAGGUUCCUCCUGUUUCUCUGUGCCUACUACGAGGCUCAUCCUCACACCUGAGGACUGUCUCCUUGCUGGUAGGCUCACCGCGUGGAGGAAAGGGGGCCUCUGGUCACCUUCCCCACAAGCACAGACACGCAGUGUCACAGGGCAGUUGAGACUGUGUUACUGAGCCCAGCGGACAACCUGGGAACACAUCCUGGUGUAUCACCUUACUGGCUGCAGGAGCUCAGGGACAGCCGUAAUCACUCUGUGCCUCAGUUUCCUCGUCUGUAGAACGGGACCAGUUUGCAUGAGGCUCCCGGGCAGAGCCUGGAACCCGUGAACCCAAGAGCAGUCGUCAUCAGGCCAACGUGCACUCGAGCAGAGAUGUCUCCCCAAGUCCAGCUUGCUUCAUAUCCCCUGCAGUUCUGGUGGUGGGAACCCAGAAGUCAGAACACAUCUACCUCCUGGCAGCUGGAGGCCACAGCGCCCCGAGUUUGGGACAUGCCCCUCUCUGCAUGUCCGUGCCAAUUCCUCAAGGCUAUCGGCCAGCCCCUCCCACUCAAGGCACCCCAUGGAGCCUCCUGGGAGAUCUUCAGACCCAGGGCAGGUGGGGGCUGGAUCUGCCCUUCCUUCGGUGCCCCAGGUCUGUUAUGGGCACGGGCUGUGAGCUGGUGCCAAGGACAGAGGCAUCAGGCCAGGCCAAACUGCUGCACACAGCUGGCCACGGGGCCGUUGAUCGCAGACAGUCAGGCUUCAGGCUGUCUGACACGGGCCGUCUGCUCCUCCUUGGACAGUUGCAGCACUCAAAUGUUAAAACAAUUUUUUAAAAUAAAUUUUUCUACUUUUUUUUUUUUUUGAGACAGGGUGUCACUCUCUUGCCCAGGCUGGAGUGCAGUGGUAUGAUCAUGGCUUGCUGCAGCCUCAACCUCCUGGGCUCACGUGAUCCUCUCACCUCAGUCUCCCACAUAGCUGGGAAUACAGGUGCGCGCCGCCGCACCUGGCUGAUAUUUGGUAGAGAUGGGGUCUCACUAUGUUGCCCAGGCUGGUCUCCAACUCCUGGACUCAAGCAAUCUGCCCACCUUGGCCUUCUAAAAUACUGAGAUUACAGGUGUGAGCCACCACACCUGGCCCCAAAUAAAACAAUUUAAAA
rnacentral:lncRNA from 1 species